rnacentral:rRNA from 1 species
AGUGAACGCUGGCGGUAGGCCUAACACAUGCAAGUCGAACGGCAGCACAGUAAGAGCUUGCUCUUACGGGAGGCGAGUGGCGGACGGGUGAGGAAUACAUCGGAAUCUACUUUUUCGUGGGGGAUAACGUAGGGAAACUUACGCUAAUACCGCAUACGACCUACGGGUGAAAGCAGGGGAUCUUCGGACCUUGCGCGAUUGAAUGAGCCGAUGUCGGAUUAGCUAGUUGGCGGGGUAAAGGCCCACCAAGGCGACGAUCCGUAGCUGGUCUGAGAGGAUGAUCGGCCACACUGGAACUGAGACACGGUCCAGACUCCUACGGGAGGCAGCAGUGGGGAAUAUUGGACAAUGGGCGCAAGCCUGAUCCAGCCAUACCGCGUGGGUGAAGAAGGCCUUCGGGUUGUAAAGCCCUUUUGUUGGGAAAGAAAAGCAGCAGGUUAAUACCCCGCUGUUCUGACGGUACCCAAAGAAGAAGCACCGGCUAACUUCGUG